rnacentral:lncRNA from 1 species
GCCAGGAUGCUCUGCGCGUGCACCAGGUUAGGGUUCCCCAGGUAGUCCAGCCCGCCCUCCGAGAAGAUCUGCGCGCCGGCCUUGAACCACACGGCCUCGCCGAACUUGACGCCGUUCUUGGCCAGGAUCUCCGGGAACACGCACCCCAGCGCGCCCAGCAUCGCCCACCGGGAGUGGAUCACCUCCAGCUCGCGGUUGCGCGCGAACGUCUCCGGGUCGGCGGAGAGCCCCGCGGUGUCCCACCCGUAGUCGCCGGGGAACUCGCCGGUCAGGUACGACGGCGUCUGCUCGGAGAACGGGCCGAGGUACUUGGGGCGGUCAGGGCCGUACCUGCGCGCGGAGCACGACGUACGCCAUUCAUUCAUGUCAGCGAUCGAUCGAUGAUCGGCAAAACACGUAGGCAGAUGAUGCUGAUGCGCCGUCCAUGGAGGAGCAAAUUAAAGGAGCACGUACCAGAUGCUCUGGGGAGCGCUCUUGACGGUGCGGCGCAUGGUGAUGCGGCCGCCGGCAUCGGCGCCGCCGGCGGGGCGGGAGACCAGGGCCUGCCCGAGGAAGCUGGUGGUCUGGUGGAGCGCCGACGCGGCCAUCUUCAACUCUGCGUGUCCGGCGAGCACGACGCGCGCGCUGGUCACAGUGAGAAUGUUCGGCUGA